AGCCAUGCCGCGUGUAUGAAGAAGGCCUUCGGGUUGUAAAGUACUUUCAGCAGUGAGGAAGGUGGGUAUGGUUAAUAGCAUACUCAUUUGACGUUAGCUGCAGAAGAAGCACCGGCUAACUCCGUGCCAGCAGCCGCGGUAAUACGGAGGGUGCGAGCGUUAAUCGGAAUUACUGGGCGUAAAGCGCAUGCAGGUGGUUUGUUAAGUCAGAUGUGAAAGCCCGGGGCUCAACCUCGGAAUUGCAUUUUGAAAACUGGCAAACUAGAGUACUGUAGAGGGGGUAGGAAUUUCAGGUGUAGCGGUGAAAUGCGUAGAGAUCUGAAGGAAUACCGGUGGCGAAGGCGGCCCCCUGGACAGAUACUGACACUCAGAUGCGAAAGCGUGGGGAGCAAACAGGAUUAGAUACCCUGGUAG
rnacentral:rRNA from 1 species